GGGUCGUCCGUCUGCUUUUAUUUUUGUCUUUCUCUUCCUUCCUCCCUUCGUCCUCUCUUCCCUCCCGUGGUCUUCUGUGUUUGCUUUAGCAGUGUGGCUUACCUUGCCACUUGGCAAGAAAAAAAAGGCAGCUCUUGUGUGGGGUAGAUGGAGGGAAGGAUAAGAAAUAAUCCACCGCCCGAAUUUGAGUUCCCUGGGUUCAGUUCCAGCGGCAGCAGCUUUGCUGCAAAAAUUGCUUUGCUGUUCGAGAUAGCCAGCAGAGGGAAUCAGGACUUUGCUUGCAGCAGGGGUUGAAGCAGGCUUUUUUUUUUUUCUUGGAGGAAAUACUGCAGCUUUCUGGACUGCAUACCCUGCUCCCUGGAGAGGUUCCACCCACCGGCUGGAAGGAGAGGAAGUGAAUGAAAGGACAGGAGGAGCGCGAACACCAUGUCACUCUGGAAGGGAGACAGCAGCAACCAGGCUGUGCAAGUGAGUGGUGGAAGACGAAGGAUCUCUGAAGCCUCAUCAGUCAUCGGGACCAUCAGGAAUAGUGGUUUAAGAGGACGCUUGGCCUGGGGCACUAUACCCUGUCAUCGAGUUCCCUGCCUCGGAGAUAAAGAUUCCAGCUACAUGGGUAAACGCCUGGAUCAGCCACAAAUGUACCCCCAGUACACUUACUACUAUCCUCACUGUCUCCAAACCAAGUCACACAGAGAGAAAGAGAGGCACAGGCAGAGGGAGAAGCAGGCUCCAUGCACCGGGAGCCCGACGUGGGACUCGAUCCCCAGUCUCCAGGAUCGCAACCUGGGCCAAAGGCAGGCGCCAAACCGCUGCGCCACCCAGGGAUCUCCACAAACAGAAAAUUCUUUAGAACUCUGGAGAGGCAAUCAUUCAUCAUAUAGGUAAAAAUAAUGGCAUUGCUUCUGCCUUCCUGGAGCUUAUGGGCUGGGAAAGACAUAGAAGGUCUUUACUUCUCAGAGAUACUGUUUCUCUUUAGUUCAUGUCAAUAAAUCUCCCUGAAUCAUUUCAAUGAA